UGAGAGAAAAUGGGUAAAGGAGAGGUGACCAAGUUCACACAGUCCACUAUGCAUGUGAGUGAGUGAUUUGGAAGGGUUUCGGUCUACCAUGCUUGGUGCAUGAGAUGGAUCAUGGGUUGGUGUGAUGGGUGAUUGGUUUGAAAGUGUCUAUGCAUGGCCAUGAUGGCCACGCAACAUGCAAGGGUAGAGAGGAAUGGGUUCAAUAGCCUUGAGAAGAAAUGGGUAUAUGGUGGGCUUAGAGAGAGAAAAGGUGGUGGAAAGAAAUGGGUAUAUUGCAUGGGGUUAUGAAACAUGUAGUGUUAAAGAGAAAUGAGUAUGAAGGAGUGAGCCAUGGGCAUGGAGGUUUGGAAGGAUGGGUAUGAAAAGCUAGUGAGACAAGGUGGCAAACAUAGAAUGGGUUUAAGGGCAUUAACAUGAAAUGGGUGUAUGGUGGGGUUUAGAGAGAGAAAGGUAGGAACGGGUUGGGUAGUAGACAAGUGGUGAGGUGGCCAGAUUUGCAUGGUUGUUAUGGAAGAGAAGUGUAUGGAGAUUGAUGGGAAUGAGCAUAGAAAUGAUGGCAUGUCUUGCAGGAAGAGUGAACUCAUCAACAUUGAGCGGAGAGUAGCAGCUUUCUCGAUGGUUAUUUAGGUGCUGUCCAUUUUAUCCCGCGGUCAGUUAAUGCAUUAGAGAUGGAGGUGUCAUGUUGAUUGUACCCAUAACGUGCACUUUAUACCAGCUCUCUUAACUUUUAUCCGUUGCUUUUUAUGAUGACUUUACACAUACUGACUGAGUCUUUUCGUGAGCUUCAUGGUUCAAGUCUGUAUAUAUCCCACCAGAUUCUUCAAUCUGUUCUAGCUUCAUAACGCCCAGAUUAAGCACCUAUUUAUUGCUUUCAGAUAAAUCAAACUGCAAUGACCAGAUUUCUUCUUAUAAUAUCCAUUGAUCCGGCAACAUGAAAUGACGGUAAAGCUUUUCGAAGCAUUAAGAUUUUUCCAGAGAUGAAAUAAGGCUCUUCUGCUAUGGUUAUUCUUCCUUUAUUGCUGAUGGGUGGCUCCGUAUGGCAUAGUUAACAGCAAGCUCCAGUCCACGCUCCCAGUUGCUUUCAACGUGAGAAUAUAUCCCUGGCGAUUUCUUACUCUCUCAGGCAGAGGUGAGAAGGUUGAUAUGUGCCAUGGAUGUAAUUCCCAAAACAGGGGAAUGGCAGCAAAACAAGGCACAAACAGUAGAGAAUGGAAUGAGUUCAUUCAGGCCUCAUAUGAUGUAUCCAACAAUGAGCUCGGGUGCAAGAUCAGUCCAAGAAAGAUUUCAAAAUGAGUUUUAAAACAAAAGCAAAGGUGGGAAUCUCAUGAGAGAUCUCAAAACAGGGUAUAUAAAACCGGUUAGAAAUCAAACAUGAGGCAGAAGCAAGCAAACCUAAAUACAAGAAAAACAAACUGAAAAACCCAACAAACACAUUCGAACACCAAACUAGAGACUCAUGAAUAUCCAGAAGCAAGAUGAAAAAGAUAUUGAACAUAGACCAUACCUGAAAAACCUCCUUACAAGCGAGAACUUGCCUGACUUCAAACUCUGUUUUUAUCACCUCUCUGGAAGAUGUUCAGCUCAAAAACAUCUUUCAAAAGACCACCCUUCGAACCCUCCUCAUAACCGGCAAUGGAAACCUCACUCUCCUUAGCCUCUUGCCCAAGCUAGCCACCCUCUCCAAAAUCCUUCACAAUCGUCAAAUGGAGACCUCCCCAAGCCAGAGGAAUCCCCCUCACCCUCCUUCUCGGUCCGUUUUUCUUUUUUCCAAGAUCCCCCCUGGCACCCUCAAAAGGAUCCUCCUAAAAUCCUCUCCCCUUCAGUCAAAGCUUUUCCCGCAAGCUAUUAACUACUAUACUGUUCACCGCUCAGCAACCUGGAGCCCCAACCACCACCAUGGCUGUGGCCAACUGCUCCACCACGUGUUCCACACAGCUCAUCUCUCCAAGCAGCCAGGUCCCCCC
rnacentral:lncRNA from 1 species